rnacentral:rRNA from 1 species
GAUGAACGCUGACAAAAUGCUUAACACAUGCAAGUCAACUUGAACUUCGGUUUGGGUGGCGGACGGGUGAGUAACGCGUAAAGAACUUGCCUCACAGAUAGGGACAACAUUUGGAAACGAAUGCUAAUACCUGAUAUUAUGAUUAUAUGGCAUCGUAUAAUUAUGAAAGCUAUAUGCGCUGUGAGAGAGCUUUGCGUCCCAUUAGCUAGUUGGAGAGGUAACGGCUCACCAAGGCGAUGAUGGGUAGCCGGCCUGAGAGGGUGAUCGGCCACAAGGGGACUGAGACACGGCCCUUACUCCUACGGGAGGCAGCAGUGGGGAAUAUUGGACAAUGGACCAAGAGUCUGAUCCAGCAAUUCUGUGUGCACGAUGAAGUUUUUCGGAAUGUAAAGUGCUUUCAGUUGGGAAGAAAAAAAUGACGGUACCAACAGAAGAAGUGACGGCUAAAUACGUG